rnacentral:rRNA from 1 species
CCUACGGGCGGCAGCAGUGAGGAAUAUUGGUCAAUGGGCGCAGGCCUGAACCAACCAAGUCGCGUGAGGGAAGACUGCCCUAUGGGUUGUAAACCUCUUUUAUAAGGGAAGAAUAAUGACUACGUGUAGUCAGAUGCCCGUACCUUAUGAAUAAGCAUCGGCUAACUCCGUGCCAGCAGCCGCGGUAAUACGGAGGAUGCGAGCGUUAUCUGGAUUUAUUGGGUUUAAAGGGUGCGCAGGCGGAAGAUCAAGUCAGCGGUAAAAUUGAGAGGCUCAACCUCUUCGAGCCGUUGAAACUGGUUUUCUUGAGUGAGCGAGAAGUAUGCGGAAUGCGUGGUGUAGCGGUGAAAUGCAUAGAUAUCACGCAGAACUCCGAUUGCGAAGGCAGCAUACCGGCGCUCAACUGACGCUCAUGCACGAAAGUGUGGGUAUCGAACAGGAUUAGAUACCCCUGUAGUC